AGCGAACGCUGGCGGCAGGCCUAACACAUGCAAGUCGAACGAAGUCUUCGGACUUAGUGGCGGACGGGUGAGUAACACGUGGGAACGUGCCUUUAGGUUCGGAAUAACUCAGGGAAACUUGUGCUAAUACCGAAUGUGCCCUUCGGGGGAAAGAUUUAUCGCCUUUAGAGCGGCCCGCGUCUGAUUAGCUAGUUGGUGAGGUAAAGGCUCACCAAGGCUACGAUCAGUAGCUGGUCUGAGAGGAUGACCAGCCACAUUGGGACUGAGACACGGCCCAAACUCCUACGGGAGGCAGCAGUGGGGAAUUUUGCGCAAUGGGCGAAAGCCUGACGCAGCCAUGCCGCAUGGAUGAUGAAGGUCUUAGGAUUGUAAAAUCCUUUCACCGGUGAAGAUAAUGACUGUAGCCGGAGAAGAAGCCCCGGCUAACUUCGUGCCAGCCGCCGCCGUAAAAC
rnacentral:rRNA from 1 species